AUUGAACGCUGGCGGAAUGCUUUACACAUGCAAGUCGAACGGCAGCACGGGGCAACCUGGUGGCGAGUGGCGAACGGGUGAGUAAUAUAUCGGAACGUGCCCAAUCGUGGGGGAUAAUGUAGCGAAAGUUACGCUAAUACCGCAUACGAUCUACGGAUGAAAGCGGGGGAUCGCAAGACCUCGCGCGAAUGGAGCGGCCGAUAUCAGAUUAGGUAGUUGGUGGGGUAAAGGCUCACCAAGCCAACGAUCUGUAGCUGGUCUGAGAGGACGACCAGCCACACUGGAACUGAGACACGGUCCAGACUCCUACGGGAGGCAGCAGUGGGGAAUUUUGGACAAUGGGCGCAAGCCUGAUCCAGCCAUUCCGCGUGCAGGAUGAAGGCCUUCGGUUGGUAAACUGCUUUUGUACGGUAACGAAACGGUACUGCCCUAACUACGCGGGCGUAAUGACGGUACCGUAACGAAUAAGCACCGGCUAACUACGUGCCAGCAGCCGCGGUAAACGUAA
rnacentral:rRNA from 1 species